GCGACUGGGCGGCGGGUGCCAUGCGCCUGGAGUACAUCCUCUGCCCCCACCCACCGCGCCAGCACUCCCGGGUCACGCCUCGGGGCGCGCGCACCUGCCAAGCAGGAUAAAUAAUCUGAUAUUAUGUGAGAUAAGGAAAUAAGAAGCUUUCUGCUGACUUAAUUGUGACUCAGGGUCCAAAAGGAUGCAAUCCUGUGGCAAGAAGAUUCAAAACUGAACUAUCUUGCAAAAAAAUACAAGAUAUUGAAAGUUUUUAUGAGCACCUACCACCUAAUCCCAAACACUAUCAUUCAUAUGUGCCUCAUUGAGCAAAUCUUUACUGAGGAUCUAUAUGCCAGAUAAUGCAGGCAUUGUUCCUAAGUCAUGCAGAUGGUCGUGUAAGCAUGGUCAUUUGUAUCAUUACACCGCACAUCUGAUAGGGCCGAACUCCAAGCCACCUGGUUUGCUCAAUAUCUUUUGCUUGAGAGCAGAAACAGAAGGUACGUGGUGGACUUCACUGAGGGAUGGAGAUUUUGAAGACAGGAAUGGAUGAAGAACUAA